rnacentral:rRNA from 1 species
UCAUUGCGGGGUCUAUAAAUGCAGUCGAGCGACAGACAAGGAGCUUGCUCCUUUGACGUUAGCGGCGGACGGGUGAGUAACACGUGGGUAACCUACCUAUAAGACUGGGAUAACUUCGGGAAACCGGAGCUAAUACCGGAUAAUAUUUCGAACCGCAUGGUUCGAUAGUGAAAGAUGGUUUUGCUAUCACUUAUUCCCUGGACCCGCGCCGUAUUAGCUAGUUGGUAAGGUAACGGCUUACCAAGGCGACGAUACGUAGCCGACCUGAGAGGGUGAUCGGCCACACUGGAACUGAGACACGGUCCAGACUCCUACGGGAGGCAGCAGUAGGGAAUCUUCCGCAAUGGGCGAAAGCCUGACGGAGCAACGCCGCGUGAGUGAUGAAGGUCUUCGGAUCGUAAAACUCUGUUAUUAGGGAAGAACAUACGUGUAAGUAAUUUUAGUUUUUUCAUGACGGGACCUAAUCAAAAAGCAC